rnacentral:rRNA from 1 species
CCUACGGGGGGCAGCAGUGGGGGAUAUUGCACAAUGGGGGGAACCCUGAUGCAGCGACGCCGCGUGGGUGAAGGAGCGUUUCGGAGCGUAAAGCCCUAUCGGCAGGGAAGAAGAAGGACGGUACCUGACUACGAAGCCCCGGCUUACUACGUGCCAGCAGCCGCGGUAAUACGUAGGGGGGAAGCGUUAUCCGGAUUUACUGGGUGGAAAGGGGGCGCAGACGGAAGGGCAAGCCAGGAGUGAAAGCCCGGGGCGCAACCCCGGGACUGCUCUUGGAACUGCGAGGAUGGAGUGCAGGAGGGGCAGGCGGAAUUCGUGGUGUAGCGGUGAAAUGCUUAGAUAUCACGAAGAACUCCGAUGGCGAAGGCAGCUUACUAAACUGCCACUGACAUUGAUGCUCGAAAGUGUGGGUAUCAAACAGGAUUAGAUACCCGGGUAGUC